AACGAACGCUGGCGGCAUGCCUAACACAUCCAAUUCGAACGAAACCUUCGGGUCUAUUGCCCCACGGGUGCUUAACCCUUGGGAACCUGCCUUUGGGUUCGGAAUAACUCAAAGAAAUUUAACCUAAUACCGGUUGAUGUCUUCGGCCCAAAGAUUUAUCGCCUUUAGAUGGGCCCGCGUUGGAUUAGCUAGUUGGUGGGGUAAAGGCCUACCAAGGCGACGAUCCAUAGCUGGUCUGAGAGGAUGAUCAGCCACACUGGGACUGAGACACGGCCCAGACUCCUACGGGAGGCAGCAGUGGGGAAUAUUGGACAAUGGGCGAAAGCCCGAUCCAGCAAUGCCGCGUGAGUGAUGAAGGCCUUAGGGUUGUAAAGCUCUUUUACCCGAGAUGAUAAUGACAGUAUCGGGAGAAUAAGCUCCGGCUAACUCCGUG
rnacentral:rRNA from 1 species